AACGAACGCUGGCGGCAGGCUUAACACAUGCAAGUCGAACGCCCCGCAAGGGGAGUGGCAGACGGGUGAGUAACACGUGGGAAUCUACCCAUCCCUACGGAACAACUCCGGGAAACUGGAGCUAAUACCGUAUACGCCCUUUUGGGGAAAGAUUUAUCGGGGAUGUAUGAGCCCGCGGCGGAUUAGCUAGUUGGUGGGGUAAAGGCCUACCAAGGCGACGAUCCGUAGCUGGUCUGAGAGGAUGAUCAGCCACACUGGGACUGAGACACGGCCCAGACUCCUACGGGCGGCAGCAGUGGGGAAUAUUGGACAAUGGGCGCAAGCCUGUUCCAGCCAUGCCGCGUGAGUGAUGAAGGCCUUAGGGUUGUAAAGCUCUUUCGCCAGGGACGAUAAUGACGGUACCUGGAUAAGAAGCCCCGGCUAACUUCGUGCCAGCCGCCGCCGUAAUAC
rnacentral:rRNA from 1 species